rnacentral:rRNA from 1 species
CAUCACUUCUGGAAUGGGUAAUGACUUAAAUCUAUAUGGCCCCUGGAUUGGACCGCGGCCGAUCAGGCUGUUGGUGAGGUAAUGGCCCACCAAACCUGUAACCGGUACGGGCUCUGAGAGGAGGAGCCCGGAGAUGGGCACUGAGACAAGGGCCCAGGCCCUAUGGGGCGCAGCAGGCGCGAAACCUCUGCAAUAGGCAAAAGCUUGACAGGGUUACUCUGAGUGAUUUCCGUUAAGGAGAUCUUUUGGCACCUCUAAAAAUGGUGCAGAAUAAGGGGUGGGCAAGUCUGGUGUCAGCCGCCGCGGUAAUACCAGCACCCCGAGUGGUCGGGACGUUUAUUGGGCCUAAAGCAUCCGUAGCCGGUUCUACAAGUCUUCCGUUAAAUCCACCUGCUUAACAGAUGGGCUGCGGAAGAUACUAUAGAGCUAGGAGGCGGGAGAGGCAAGCGGUACUCGAUGGGUAGGGGUAAAAUCCGUUGAUCCAUUGAAGACCACCAGUGGCGAAGGCGGCUUGCCAGAACGCGCUCGACGGUGAGGGAUGAAAGCUGGGGGAGCAAACCGGAUUAGAUACCCGGGUAGUCCCAGCUGUAAACGAUGCAGACUCGGUGAUGAGUUGGCUUAUUGCUAACUCAGUGCCGCAGGGAAGCCGUUAAGUUUGCCGCCUGGGGAGUACGGUCGCAAGACUGAAACUUAA